ensembl:lncRNA
UGCACAUUAAAACCACCUACAUUGUUUCAGACAGGUUUCUCUCUCAACAAGGAGUUGGAAUUAAAAUGAAAAAUAAGAAGGGAGCAGCUUGGCAGCUGCAUAGACAUGUCUCCAAUCAAGUGCAGACAGGCUGAUCCGCAUGGGCUCCCAGGCAACGGGAUCCAGGCCAGCUAAGAACUUCAGUGUGUCCAAAAGGAUGAUGCAGGGACAAAUGUGAGUGCCAGGACUGCUUGACCCCAAGGUUCCUGGCUCUGAAAUUUUCUCCCAUUGGAAAUCUACUCUGACUACUGCAGGACAAGCUUCCUGGCAGCAGGUAUCUCUGAUCAACACCGUAUCAGAAGAAAAUUAUUUGGAAGGGACAUGAAGCAACUUGCUUUGCUAUUUCAGGAGAUCAGCUUUAAAAUCCCUCCCGAUCUGGACCAAAGUAUGCAGCUGUCAUUUUGAGAGAGGCUUGCUCCAAGGAUAUCACUGCUGCUGGGGAGGAAAAGCCUACCUCAUCUUCAGGGUCAUUCUGCUGUUGAUCAUAAAUCAGCUGAAAAUGACCGCAAGGUAGUUCUGCUUUCAUUUUCAAAUGAGUUCUUCAAAUCUGUGGUUCUUUUCACUAACUGGGUUUCUAGAGAAAGCUGUAAAGUGUGUGAAAUCUGCUCUGUCUGCUUUGCUGGUGAGAAGAUGGGUGGACUGAUUAAUGUCAUGGCAAUCUCAUAUGUUAGCCACUUUCCUGCUGAAUGUAACUUUACCUGCUACCCCAAUGUGACUAGACUGCA